ACGAUUAGCUUAGUUUCCCUUGACAAAUAAAUCUUUCGCCUUUUACUAAAGAUAUCCGUGGAGACGAGCACUCUAUUGAAACUAUAAUCAAUUGCUCAUUAAACAUUAAUUUUUUUUCA
rnacentral:snRNA from 1 species